rnacentral:tRNA from 1 species
GGCCCCAUCGUCUAGCGGUCUAGGACAUCGCCCUCUCACGGCGAAAACCGGGGUUCGAGUCCCCGUGGGGUCA